UACGGGGGGGGUAAGCGUUGUUCGGAAUUACUGGGCGUAAAGGGCUCGUAGGCGGCCAACUAAGUCAUACGUGAAAUCCCUCAGCUUAACUGGGAAACUGCGUGUGAUACUGGAUGGCUUGGAUUUGGGAGAGGGCUGCGGAAUUCCCGGUGUAGAGGUGAAAUUCGUAGAUAUCGGGAGGAACGCCGGUGGCGAAGGCGGCAGCCUGGGUUGACACUGACGCUGAGGCGCGAAAGCGUGGGGAGCAAACAGG
rnacentral:rRNA from 1 species